AAACUCAAACGAAUCGUUGGGGGUCCGCACAAGCAGCGGAGCGUGUGGUUUAAUUAGAUGCUACUCGAAGAACCUUACGUGGGUGUGACAUGCAAGUGGUAGGGAACCGAAAGGGGACCGACCUUCGGGAGCGUGCACAGGUGCUGCAUGGCUGUCGUCAGAUAGCACCGUGAGGUGUCGGGGUAAGUCCUGUAACGAGCGCAACCCUUGCCCUUAGUUACAAGUCUUUAAGGGGACUUCCCGGGACAACUGGGAGGAAGGUGGGGAUGACGUCAAGUCAGCAUGGCCUUUAUAUUCAUGGUUUCACACACGCUACAAUGGCCGGUACAAUAGGUUGCGAAGUCGUGAGGCGGAGCCAAUCCUCAAAGCCGGUCUCAGUUCGAAUUGCAGUCUGCAACUCGACUGCAUGAAGCUGGAGUUGCUAGUAAUCGCAGGUCAGAUAUUCUGCGGUGAAUACGUUCCCGGGCCUUGUACACACCGCCCGUCACGUCACGGAAGCUGGCAACGCUAGAAGCCGGUGAGCUCACCCGAAAGGGAGGCACCCGUCGA
rnacentral:rRNA from 1 species